UAUAAAGUAGUAUAUGAGUGCGGGGAGGUUUGGUCUCUUAAGAGCGGGUUGAGAACUCGCCUUUGUAU
rnacentral:tRNA from 1 species